GAGCUCGGCAAGCCGACGAAGACUAGGUGAGGUUUUUUACGCAGGAAGAGUUGGAGAGUGAGCAGCGAGCCGACGCGUCCCUGAAGGGACUGUUUGACAUGGUGUUGCCUGCGUCGGAGGGGAUCCCGUCCUCCAGAUUGUCCUGCCUUCGAAGCUCCGGGAGACGGUGCUUCGCCGGGCCCAUGAUGACUCGGGUCACUGGGGGGCGUUUGAGAGGAUAAAGUCUCUGCUGUGUGAAGCACCGGUCCUGGCCGCUCCGAGGUUUGACCGACCUUUUGUGCUUCAAGUCGACGCUAGUCACAUCGGAGUAGGUGGCGUUUUGUUGCAAGCCAAUGAGUUGGGUUUGGAAAACCAGUCUGUUUUUUUCCAAGAAAUUUAACUCAUAUCAAUUGAACUAUUCAACGAUUGAAAAGGAGGCACUGGCCUUAGUUUGGGCUCUGAGAAACUUUGAAGUGUACUUGGGCUCUGGGAGCGGUACCCGUAGUGGUGUACACUGACCACAACCCACUUCUGUUUUUGAACUCGCUGCAAUGUCCUAACCAGCGUCUGAUACAUUGGUCGUUAUUUCUACAGUCACAUUGGCUUGAUAUUAGACACAUAAAGGGUGCGGAAAACGUCGUAGCCGACGCACUGUCUCGCGUUCCUCAAGAUUGAGGUUUGAGCUAAGACUUUAUUGCUGUUAUGAUGUUGUCCUGUUGCGCUCCUGUUCCCUCUUCUGUCAUCCUUCCCUCUUAAAUUGCUUCCCACUGGUACCAGGUUGCUGAGGUGGGGGUGUGGAAGAUGCGCGUAGUGAGCUGUGUGGUUCUCAACAGCAGCUGGUGUUCCUGUCCUCGGAUGUGUGUGCCCUUGUGUGUGUGCCUUAAACAUCGUAAACUCUAUACGUGUAAAAAAAAAAAAAAAAAAAAAGUAAAACUUCAAAGUAAGUAAAAGGUAUAUAUUUGUAAAAAAAAAAAAAAAAAAUCUUUAAAGUAAGUAGAAUGUAUAUAUUUGUGAAGAAAACAAACUUUAUAGUAGGUAGAAUGUGUAGCCUAUAUAUUUGCAAAGUAAAAAAAAAAAUAAUGAGGUUUAAUAAUGAGGGAGCCAUUGUCGAGUUCGGGGUUUGGGCCCGUUUUUCAGGAGGGGGUGUGACGGCCUCCUGCCUGUGGAUGUGUGUAUGCGUGUAUGGUGGCCUCUGCUUUGUCAAGCUGCAGGUGAUGAGCUGGUGGGUGUGGCCAAUUCCCAAACCUGUGUUAAGCUGGUCCUUCCUCCUGCCUCACUCUCUUCCUGACAUCGCCUGGCUCCGGAGGGAGAGCGGUGUGCCGCUCCGCCGCAGCCCCUCGUUUUCUAUUGUGUUCUCUUUGUUUGCUUUGCCGUCAUUUUGGUCCCUUGUGUUAGGGAAAUAAAUUAUCCUUUUGUUACUUUUACCUACGCAGUUC
ensembl:lncRNA